rnacentral:lncRNA from 1 species
CGACAGUCCCAAUCCAUUCCAGCUUUCAAGCCAGGUGCUACGAUUUCAGCGCAGCUGUGAAAUCAAUGAAAAUAGUGAAUGAGCAUGUCGACGCUGCUGGAUCUGAAGAGCAGUGUGCUGAGGCAGGUGCAAAGGAGCCAGUCCCUGAGGACUAGGAGGGAGCCACCGGCCAGCACCAGCGCUGGAGGGAGUCCCCCGACCCUCGCACGCCGCUCUGGCACCAUCGUACACAGAUCUUAGCAGAUGGUGGCAUGACUGUCCAUGAACAG